rnacentral:rRNA from 1 species
UACGUAGGCAGCAAGCGUUGUUCGGAAUUACUGGGCGUAAAGCGUGUGUAGGCGGUUGGGUAAGUCUGGUGUGAAAUCUCCUGGCUCAACUGGGAGGGUGCGCCGGAAACUGCCUGGCUAGAGUUCGGGAGAGGAGAGUGGAAUUCCCAGUGUAGAGGUGAAAUUCGUAGAUAUUGGGAAGAACACCGGUGGCGAAGGCGGCUCUCUGGACCGAGACUGACGCUGAGGCGCGAAAGCGUGGGGAGCAAACAGGG